UAUAUCUGAGAGAUGUACCGAGCCAAACAAGAACGUCUGUAUGGAUAAAACCUUGAACUCUGUAGGAAAGGUUCUAUACAAAAAAGAGAGAAGGAGAGGGAGGAAAAAGUGCCAAAGCCAGCACUUUGAAAAAAAAGAAGACUGUAAGUAAUCACUUAAAGAAGAAGAAAAAAGCUUCACAGUUGGGCUCAUCCACUCUGCCCUGCUGCUCUUCAGUCAUCUCUAAGCCGGCUCCAGGUGAGAUGCGCCAUGCUAGCAGAUGACGCCCUUCUCUCCAUCUGGGGAGCAGGAGGAGAAUGGUAGCAGUACAGAUCAGCUGAACCGAAAUGAGAAGAGAAAUACUGUCAUGCAGAGGCCAUGGAGAGCAUUUGGAAGCAACACAGGGAAGUCACCCAAUGCAGCUGAGGUCCUGAUGGUAUACAGAUUGACCAUGCUUGAUUUAAUUCAUGCCAACAGAAGCAUCCUCAAUCUUUCAUAAGAAAAGUUACUUUUUUUGACUGCACGUCUUAGCAAAUUCUGUAAUACAAAAAUAGCUUUGCUGUACUCUGCCUUUCACAAAGGGCAUAAUUAGAAAGCAAUACAAGUGGAGAAUCAAAUUAUCUCCCUUUCUCUAAAGAUCAUUGAUUGAUAUAAAAACAAGCGAAGUCUUGCCACUGCAGAUCAGACUCCUAGAUAAGAUCAUGUCAGAGGAAGAAAAGAACCAGCCAGGUCCAUCUGCCAGCCAGUGAAGGAGGAGACUUGGAAGGGAAAUUGCUUUUCCCAGACCUAUGAGAAAGAAGGAUAGGACUGGAGAGUUGAAGGGAAGGAUGACCUGAUCUCUUCCAUUUGCUGAAGGGCCAGUGGUCGGGCAUUAAACCUGUUGCUUCCACAAAGAAAACUGCAGAAAGAAGGACAACCUGGUCCCUUCCAUUGACCAGAGAAGAAAGGACUGGAAGAAAAUUGACUAUCUUCUACUUGCUAAGAAGAAGUCUUGAUUUCAAAUGCCAGUUCUCUGGGACUGCAGAACUUGAAGGAAGCAAUCUCUUCCUACUUCAUCUUUUCCCCAGCCACAGGACCAGGUACUUCCGGGUUAUACAAGUGUUAUAUUGAUGCACCUUAUUGUUUACAAACUGUCUUGAGGAUAAUUUGAUUGAAUGCUGUGGCAGAAAUGUUCCAAUAAGACAAUUUUGUGCAUUGGCUGUCUCUGUUAAGUCAUAGCAAAGGUGUUGCAUGGGCAGUCUAGAGAAGUAGUUCUGCCCAUGAGAGGCACUGUAGCAUUAGGUAGCCAGAGUGUUGCCAAAAAACUGGUCCCUAAUGAGGAGGGAGCAAAGAGGAUGGAGACCUCCAGUUUGCAGAAGGGUUUAGGAGACAAUAGUACUGGAAAGGUAGAUUCUUCAAUAAGCCACGUCGAAUACUAGCAACAUUGGCAUGCUACACUACUUAGGGCCCUUCCACACAGCCAUAAAACCCAAAAUAUCAAGGCAGAUAAUCCACAGUAUCGGCUUUGAACUGGGUUAUCUGAGUUCACACUGCCAUAUAAUCCAUUUCAAUGUUGAUCUUACACAGCUGUGUGGAAGGGGCCUUGGUUUUUGCUACAUUCAAUUAAACAGGUUCGGGUAAUAACACUGAAUGAAACAUGCCAUCACUAUCUGUUCCUGCUUCUAAAAAUGCAUAGAUGUUUAACUAGAGCUUUGGCAAUAAUUUUUGGGUUGUUCCAAAAUUUUGCAAUUGGCAUGGACAGCAGUCAUGCUGACUGAAGGAUUCUAGAUCUAGCAAUUCAAGAAAGGAAGAUCUCCAAAGCUCUGCCCGGUUCAUACUUUGUCUACAAGGAAGACAGAAAAGUGCCACCAAAAGGAGGUGCUCUCCCACAAUUGUUCUUCUGUUGUCCCUGAUGCCAUAGCACAGUAGCUAGCUAUUAUAGAAACACAGUCAUUGGACUCUCUAUGCACAGUUGCUCUCCAAAUAGAUGUUUGUCUUCCCUUGGUCAUAAAAAAUAGAGAGAACCUACAAAUAUCACCCUCAUGCUGGGAAUACCAUCAUUGUUUGAGUGCUGUAUGUUUCUUUUCUUGUAGGGGUGUUACAAGGUUUGGGUGUUUGUGUUCAAUGUCAAGAAAUGAGACAUCCCUCAUUCUAUGAUUUGUGUGAGGUGCUUUCCUAAUAAUCUUAUUACAUAUUGUUGUCACUGUUGUUAUUGUUCAAGUUUUUUCUGACUUACAGUAACCAUAAGGCAAACCUAUCUUGGAGUUUUCUGGGAUUGAGAAUGGUUCUUUAGUCCAGACCAUGUUGAAGCCAUAAAAACUUAUUCUUUAAAUGCUUGUGCGCAGAACCAGGUCUUCAGCUUUUUUCUAAAACUCAGAAGGGAUGGAGUCUGUCUGCUGUUACUGUGAAGGGACAGUAAGCUGAGGAGCCACCACUGAGAAGGCCCUGCCUCUUGUUCCCAGCAAUUGCACUUGUGAAGGAAGUGGGAUCGACGGCAGGACCUCCCCAGAGGAUCUUAAAGUUCUAGUAGACUCAUAAGAAGAGAUGCGUUUGGACAGAUAAAUUGGACCAGAACUGUUUAGAGCUUUAUUGGUCAAGACCAGCACUUUAAAUUGGGCUCGGUAGCAUAUCAGCAGCCAGUGGAGCUGACACAACAGAGGAGUAGUAUGCUCCCUGCAUGCCACUCCAGUUAGAAGUCUGGCCUCCGCCCAUUGGACUAGUUGAAGCUUCUUGCCUGUCUUCAAAGGCAACCCCACAUAAAGCAUGGUAAUAAUAUGAUUUAUAAGAUUAUAUGCAUUUCCAAGAUUUUUUUUUGUCAUUUCUCAUUAUGUUCACAUGAUACACGCACACACUGGAACCAACAUACAAUGUACUGUGACACACAGUUUGGAAAGCUCUGCUCUCACCACUACACCAAGCAUCAAGAAUAAAGGCAAGAAUAACACAUUAGCAGAACUCCAAUAUAAUAUAGGAAAGAUUCUUAAAAAUACAAAGAGAAGGCAAUGCUAGAUUAAAAAGAAAAAGCUUUCAAGUGGAAAUAGCAAAUUAUCAACAAUAGCAUGAGGCAGAUCUUUAAGGUACUUUGUAUUCUGGGUAGUGCCACAGGAAAGGCCCUUUCCCUCUUGACAACUGUGCUUUGUUGGUGCAGAGCAGUGGUUCUCAUGCUUAGUCCACCAGGUGUUUGGGACUUCAACUCCCAAAUGCCCCAGCCAACUUGGCCAAUUAUCAGGAAAUUUGGGAGCUGAGGUCCAAAACACCUGGUUGACCAAAGUUUGGGAAGUACUGUGUUAGAUGAUAAGAUUAAUGGUAAGGUCAUUAUCACUACCACCAUCAAGCAGGAGGAGAAACAGAAGGAGAGCUACUCUGCAAAUAUUUUCAGAUGAAGAACCAGGACAAAUGUAUUUUAAACAAAUGCUCCAUAUUAUUUCAGUUUAUAGUCCCAGGCCCUUUCCCCAAGCUAUUUAUGCUCUGGAGUUCUCUGUAUUUUUAUUUUAUUUUAUAAAUUAAAAUUAUAUUAUCAAUGCUCUAAUUUUUACAGUACAAGAACUGAAAACUUAGAAAAAGUAAUUGUUUGGAUUACAGUUCCCCAAAAUCCUCCAGCCAGAACUUCCACUGGGAAAUUCUGGGAAUUGUAAUCUAAGAAUCAAUUUUUCUAAGCUCUGGUGGAAAUAUGCUUGUGUGUAAAGACUGAAAAUGAAUUUUUAGGAAAUGGUAAGCAAAAAAAUGAAGAGAAAAAUCUCAUACAUAAACCUGGGGAUAGUUUGUUUCUUCAGGGCCCUAACUGGACUCCAGAUCCUAUCAGUUCCAGCCAGUGUGGCCAGUGUUAAGAGAAAAUGGGAGUUGGAGUCUUAACAGGUGACAGGUUCCUUGAAUAUAUGAAAACAUUAUCUGAGAUGAAGGAAGAGGAAGCAUAUUGUUUGCAUGUUUUCUUUGUUCUCUGUAUGUUUCUCAUGGCUAAAUUCUCCUAACAUUAAGGCUAAGGCUAUUUAUUAACCAAAUUCACUCUUCAUACUAUUGCUAUUUAUGAAUCAGAUGAGAUCAAAUUAAAUCAGGUGUCCCUUGUCCCCUUCAAUAUGGAAGCCAACUAAAAAUGGCAAAUAUGUAGAGAAGGGCCUUCCUAAAUGCUGUCCUUUUCACCUAGGAUAUGUAUAGCUGUGUUGUUAAUUCCAGCAUGCUCUCUCUCUCCCACUGAAAUCCCACAGAUCUGGAAAGAGAACCGAGACCUCACUUCCUUCCUGCUCAGCUAAUUAAAAGCUGGCCACGCGGUUGCUGAAGGGUGUUCUAAGCCAGAGAUUUUCACAGCUGGAACUCAAAAGAACAUAGGAUAAGUGAACUGUGGGUGUGGAACCCAUGCAAAUAAAGAAUUAACAAGAAAUGUCUGCCUCUUCCUAAAGGGCACAGGCUGAGCCCAAACAUCCUUCUGUAUAGGGUCAAUGUAUGGUCAAUUAGAACAGUCGCUCGCUCUGUGUGGGAGAAGGUUUUAUUUAGCAUCUUGUGAGCAAUUUCACAACUAGGCAAGAGCAUAAAACCCUUCCUUAGAAGAACUACUAAUUAUACAUUGGUGUAUAUAUUUGUCCCUACUAGUUUAUAUCCAAACCCACAAUGUAAGUCAAGGUUGGGAAUUUUGUGGCCUCCCAGAUAUUAUGGGACUACAACUCCUAGCAUUCCUCAUUAUUGGCUACAUUGAACAGGACUACUAGAAACUGUAAUUCCACAACAUCUAGACAGCCAAUUUUCUAGCUAGUAUAGCUGGGGAAUUUUGGGAGUUUAAAUCCAAUAAUCAACUUUUCUCACCUGUAGAGAAAUAUGCUUAUGUCUGAGACUGAAAAUCUGAACUAGGAGGAUAUAAAUUGCUGGCCACAUUAUUUUAUCUUUGUGUUUAAAGAUCUAAAAGCAGGAUAAUGAGACUUGACCUUCUGGAUGUUGUUAGAUUUCAGUUUCUACUAUGCUUUGCAUUGGAUGGUCUGCCCAGGACUGAUAUAAAUUAAGAGUUCAGCAACUUCUGGAGGAUAACAGAUUCCAUAACUCUAGCUCAGAGCAUUCUCAUUGGAACUCUGAUAAAAGCAAAUGUAACAAAGGCUGGAUCUACACUGCCUUAUAUCCCAGGAUCUGAUCCAGCUUUGUGCUGGAUUAUAUGAGUCUACACUGCUAGAUCCCCAUGCAAAGGAUCAUUACCUUGACAUGGUGCUGGGGCUUGCGCGCCUUGAUGAUUCCAUCCCCCCCCCGCCUUUUAGGGUCUUUCUU
rnacentral:lncRNA from 1 species